AGUGUGAGAAUUGAAGACUGAAGAUUGUGUUUGAAGUCUGAAGUCUUUUUAUUUUUCUUUUGGUGUUGGUGUUGGCUUUGGUUUUUAUUUCGGCUUUGGUCUCAUUAGAGAUGUGUUCUGCUUUGACAGUUGCUUUUAAGGUUUAUUAUGAACAAGUUUGAUUUAUUUUGAAGUUUAAUAUAGGUUCUUUGGAGUUUUCUUUUCACUUGUUCUAGUCUUUGUCCACGUUUUGAGAUGGUUGUGUUCACUUGUGUAGCACGAGAAAUGGGUUACAUGAAAGAGUAUUUUUCAGGUUGUGUUUACUUCGGUAGCAUGAGAAAUGGUGUUACAGGACAACGUUGAACCUGAAACUAUGUCUUGCUUAGUGUUGACGUGUUUUGUAUCCAUGUUAAUGAGUCUAUAAGUGUUUCAUUUGUAAUGUAAUUAUACUUUAGCAUUAGAGAGUCUGUAAGUGUUUCAUGAAGCAAAAAAGCAGGUUCAGAUUUUUGGGUAGUAUGAGGUAUUUCGGGUAAUAUGAGUAGGGUGGAUACCCGAAAUC
rnacentral:lncRNA from 1 species